GAUGAACGCUGGCGGCGUGCCUAAUACAUGCAAGUCGAGCGAACAGACGAGGAGCUUGCUCCUCUGACGUUAGCGGCGGACGGGUGAGUAACACGUGGAUAACCUACCUAUAAGACUGGGAUAACUUCGGGAAACCGGAGCUAAUACCGGAUAAUAUAUUGAACCGCAUGGUUCAAUAGUGAAAGACGGUUUUGCUGUCACUUAUAGAUGGAUCCGCGCCGCAUUAGCUAGUUGGUAAGGUAACGGCUUACCAAGGCGACGAUGCGUAGCCGACCUGAGAGGGGGAUCGGCCACACUGGAACUGAGACACGGUCCAGAGUCCUACGGGAGGCAGCAGUAGGGAAUCUUCCGCAAUGGGCGAAAGCCUGACGGAGCAACGCCGCGUGAGUGAUGAAGGUCUUCGGAUCGUAAAACUCUGUUAUUAGGGAAGAACAAAUGUGUAAGUAACUAUGCACGUCUUGACGGUACCUAAUCAGAAAGCCACGGCUAACUACGUG
rnacentral:rRNA from 1 species